rnacentral:rRNA from 1 species
GUAGACGAGUUUUUAGACUUCAUGCUCAAUUUUAUGGGGAUAAGGGUCUAACCGAAGGACCUGAUAGGACGACCGCAUCCAGGAAGGCAGCAGGCGCGCAAAAUCAAUCGCAACACGGGGAGGUAGUGACAAUAUGUAACAAUAUACGGCCUUAUCCUCGUACAUUGGAAUGAGUUCAAUUUAAAUCCCUCAAAGGGAAAAUUGGGGGGAGUCUGGUGCCCCCCCCCCCUUAUUCCCGCCCCAACGCGAAAUAAAAUUUUUCUUAAAAACCCUUUUUGACCUGGGGCCGGGCGGGCCGCCCCCCACGCAAGACGUCUUCGGGCCUUUCCCCAGAUAAAUUUGUUCCGCGCAAGAACCGAAC